UGGCGGACGGGUGGGUAAUGUCUGGGAAACUGCCUGAUGGAGGGGGAUAACUACUGGAAACGGUAGCUAAUACCGCAUAACGUCGCAAGACCAAAGAGGGGGACCUUAGGGCCUCUUGCCAUCGGAUGUGCCCAGAUGGGAUUAGCUAGUAGGUGGGGUAACGGCUCACCUAGGCGACGAUCCCUAGCUGGUCUGAGAGGAUGACCAGCCACACUGGAACUGAGACACGGUCCAG
rnacentral:rRNA from 1 species